CGGGGGGGCAAGCGUUGUUCGGAAUUACUGGGCGUAAAGGGCUCGUAGGCGGCCAAUUAAGUCAGACGUGAAAUCCCUCGGCUUAACCGGGGAACUGCGUCUGAUACUGGAUGGCUUGAGUUUGGGAGAGGGAUGCGGAAUUCCAGGUGUAGCGGUGAAAUGCGUAGAUAUCUGGAGGAACACCGGUGGCGAAGGCGGCAUCCUGAACCAACACUGACGCUGAGGAGCGAAAGCCAGGGGAGCAAACGGGAUUAGAUACCCCGGUAGUCCUGGCCCUAAACGAUGAAUGCUUGGUGUGACGGGUAUCGAUCCCUGUCGUGCCGAAGCUAACGCAUUAAGCAUUCCGCCUGGGGAGUACGGUCGCAAGGCUG
rnacentral:rRNA from 1 species